rnacentral:piRNA from 1 species
UUGGCUUACAGUUUGAGGGUACAGUCUGU